rnacentral:rRNA from 1 species
AGCAGUAGCCGCGGGAAUACGGAGGGUGCAAGCGUUAAUCGGAAUUACUGGGCGUAAAGCGCACGCAGGCGGUCUGACAAGUCAGAUGUGAAAUCCCCGGGCUUAACCUGGGAACUGCAUUUGAAACUGUCAGGCUGGAGUCUUGUAGAGGGGGGUGGAAUUCCAGGUGUAGCGGUGAAAUGCGUAGAGAUCUGGAGGAAUACCGGUGGCGAAGGCGGCCCCCUGGACAAAGACUGACGCUCAGGUGCGAAAGCGUGGGGAGCAAACAGGAUUAGAUACCCCGGUAGUCCCUGUCUCUUAUAA